GUCAAGGGAAGAGGGUCGGAGCAGGUGAAGGUGAAGGUCAUGGAGAUGUCAUGUGGAAACUAGUUGGACUGGCUUAUUGGAAGCGCAAGGGCUGGGCCUGUCUGGCUAUGAAGCAAUGCCCUUUCCUCGACUCACACUGAGUUCUGGGCCCAAGGGCAGAGCUGACUGUCAGGGCUGACCAAAGAAGGAGAGCUUUAAGAUCAUUUCUGCACACAGCAGGAGUGUUUAAGGUUGGCAAGAUCCAGAGAGCCAGUCCUGAGAUCAUCUGGUGAAAGGAAACGAGGCAUGGAGGUUUCCCAGAGAAAGAACCCAGGACGA